rnacentral:rRNA from 1 species
AGUGAACGCUGGCGGUAGACCUAACACAUGCAAGUCGAACGGCAGCGCAGUAAGAGCUUGCUCUUACGGGUGGCGAGUGGCGGACGGGUGAGGAAUACAUCGGAAUCUACUUUUUCGUGGGGGGUAACGUAGGGAAACUUACGCUAAUACCGCAUACGACCUACGGGUGAAAGCAGGGGAUCUUCGGACCUUGCGCGAUUGAAUGAGCCGAUGUCGGAUUAGCUAGUUGGCGGGGUAAAGGCCCACCAAGGCGACGAUCCGUAGCUGGUCUGAGAGGAUGAUCAGCCACACUGGAACUGAGACACGGUCCAGACUCCUACGGGAGGCAGCAGUGGGGAAUAUUGGACAAUGGGCGCAAGCCUGAUCCAGCCAUACCGCGUGGGUGAAGAAGGCCUUCGGGUUGUAAAGCCCUUUUGUUGGGAAAGAAAAGCAGCAGGUUAAUACCCCGCUGUUCUGACGGUACCCAAAGAAUAAGCACCGGCUAACUUCGUG